GAGUUUGAUCCUGGCUCAGAAUCAACGCUGGCGGCGCGCUUAACACAUGCAAGUCGAGCGAGAAAGGGGAGCAAUCCCUGAGUAAAGCGGCGCACGGGUGAGUAACACGUGGGUUACCUGCCCUCUGAUGGGGAAUAACCCUGGGAAACCGGGGCUAAUACCGCAUAAGUCCGAGAGGAGAAAGCCGAAAGGCGUCAGAGGAGGGGCCCGCGGUCGAUUAGCUUGUUGGUGAGGUAAUGGCUCACCAAGGCGACGAUCGAUAGCCGGCCUGAGAGGGCACACGGCCACACUGGCACUGAAACACGGGCCAGACUCCUACGGGAGGCAGCAGUAGGGAAUCUUGCACAAUGGGGGAAACCCUGAUGCAGCGACGCCGCGUGAGCGAUGAAGCCCUUCGGGGUGUAAAGCUCUUUCGGCAGGGAAGAUGAUGACGGUACCCGCAGAAGAAGCCCCGGCUAACUCCGUGCCAGCAGCCGCGGUAAUACGGAGGGGGCUAGCGUUGUUCGGAAUUACUGGGCGUAAAGGGCGCGUAGGCGGUUCGGUAAGUUAGGCGUGAAAGGCCUGGGCUCAACCCGGGAACUGCGCUUAAGACUGUCGGGCUGUGAGUCCGGGAGAGGAUGGCGGAAUUCCCAGUGUAGAGGUGAAAUUCGUAGAUAUUGGGAAGAACACCAGUGGCGAAGGCGGCCAUCUGGCCCGGUACUGACGCUGAGGCGCGAAAGCGUGGGGAGCAAACAGGAUUAGAUACCCUGGUAGUCCACGCCGUAAACGAUGAGUGCUAGACGUUGGCGAGCAUGCUCGUC
rnacentral:rRNA from 1 species